AUGCACGCUGGCGGCGCGCCUCACACAUGCAAGUCGAACGAUUAAAGCACCUUCGGGUGUGUAUAAAGUGGCGAACGGCUGAGUAACACGUGGGCAACCUGCCCCUUUCAUUGGGAUAGCCACGGGAAACCGUGGAUAAUACCGAAUACUUCGAGACUUCCGCAUGGAAGACUCGAGAAAGCUCCGGCGGAGAGGGAUGGGCCCGCGGCCUGUUAGCUUGUUGGUGGGGUAACGGCCUACCAAGGCAAUGAUGGGUAGCUGGGUUGAGAGACCGACCAGCCAGAUUGGGACUGAGACACGGCCCAGACUCCUACGGGAGGCAGCAGUGGGGAAUCUUGCACAAUGGGCGAAAGCCUGAUGCAGCGACGCCGCGUGCGGGAUGAAGGCCUUCGGGUUGUAAACCGCUUUCAGCAGGGACGAGGCGAAAGUGACGGUACCUGCAGAAGAAGCCCCGGCUAACUACGUG
rnacentral:rRNA from 1 species